AUUGAACGCUGGCGGAAUGCUUUACACAUGCAAGUCGAACGGCAGCACGGGGCAACCUGGUGGCGAGUGGCGAACGGGUGAGUAAUACAUCGGAACGUGCCCAGUCGUGGGAGAUAACGUAGCGAAAGCUACGCUAAUACCGCAUACGAUCUACGGAUGAAAGCGGGGGAUCGCAAGACCUCGCGCGAUUGGAGCGGCCGAUGGCAGACUAGGUAGUUGGUGGGGUAAAGGCCCACCAAGCCGACGAUCUGUAGCUGGUCUGAGAGGACGACCAGCCACACGGGGACUGAGACACGGCCCAGACUCCUACGGGAGGCAGCAUUGGGGAAUUUUGGACAAUGGGCGAAAGCCUGAUCCAGCCAUUCCGCGUGCAGGAUGAAGGCCCUCGGGUUGUAAACUGCUUUUGUACGGAACGAAAAGGUGCUCUCUAAUACAGGGCGCUCAUGACGGUACCGUAAGAAUAAGCACCGGCUAACUACGUGCCAGCCGCCGCUGUAA
rnacentral:rRNA from 1 species